rnacentral:rRNA from 1 species
AUUGAACGCUGGCGGCAGGCCUAACACAUGCAAGUCGCGCGAGCGGCGGAAGGGUGAGUAAUGUAUGGGGACUGCCCGAUAGAGGGGGCUAAAUACUGGAAAAGGUGGCUAAUACCGCAAACUAUCGGAUAACCCAUAUGGUGUUAGCUAGUAGGUAAGGUAAUGGCUUACCUAGGCGACGAUCCCUAGCUGGGCUGAGAGGAUGAUCAGCCACACUGGGACGGAGACACGUCCCUGACUCCUACGGAGGCAGCAGUGUGGAAGCUUGGACAAUGGGCGCAAGCCUGAUGCAGCCAUGCCGCGUGUAUGAAGAAGGCCCUAGGGUUGUAAAGUACUUUCAGUCGGGAGGCGUUACCGACAGAAGAAGCACCGGCUAACUCCGUGCCAGCAGCCGCGGUAAUAC